GCAACCGCGAGGAAAAUGUAAAUAUAACUUCAUUAGCCUAAUUACCAAGUUGUUAAUUGAGUUGCACGGUACUAAUCUCCAAUAUUUAUUUCUUCACAGAAGAAGGUCGUAUUCACUCAGAUUCGGGACAGCAAUGAUUUGUGCUCGUCUGCUGCGGGAGAAUGCGGAGACAUUACUUCAAUAAUAAGGAAUCUGGGUACUUCGAUACACAAAAUCGAGCCCUGUCGAGUCCUAGUGUUGCCUUUAUGCUGUUGGAUUUGGUCAAGGACAACUUCAUAAACGUUUUGCAGACGAUUGUGAUCGGUGGUUCGAUCAAUUGGAUUAGGCCUCACUUAAUUCCGCCUGGGUUUUGUCAGCUUCGUGAUAUCUCCCGAAUGUGUUUGGCUGAGAAGUAAUUACACGCUGGUCCUGGGAGAUGAUAAUGCCAUGGAUCAGACCCAAUCGAUGCAGGAUCAGAUGUCGAUAGUUUAGAUAGUUCAAUAAAUGAAUAAAGAUACAUACAAAAGCUCAAUAAGUUUAUAACAAUAUAUGCAUAAAGGUUGGGUUAACAUAACAUGUUUAGGGUAUAUGUUAAACCAACGUUGAACCGACUGCUUAUACUGGGUUAUACUGGCCGAUUUGACAUUUGUUUACCAUUGUUAUCGCGUAAUAUGUUUACUAAGUAUUGGUAAUAAAUUUACUGAGUAUUGGUAACAUUUACCAAAAAGCCGGAAUUACGAAUGCAAUACGAAUUAUUCGUACAUAUUACACAAUAACAAUGGUAAACAAAUGUCAAACGGCCAGUAUGACCCACUAUUGGCGAUCUAACGUACAAAUCUACACCUAGGCGGCACUGCGGUGAAAGUGAUGAUGGUUUUAAAUUUUGCCAUGUGAGCUUAUGGAAGGUUUGUAGUUCUUUCCAUAAAUUACAAUGUUAUAAUCAUAAAAGAUUAUUUGAUUGCGAUGAGUUUGUAAGAAAUUUAAUUCUGCGCAAUUUUAUAUAUAACAUGUUAUUUAUUUAUCUCUUUCAAUAGUAAAAACUAUAAAAAUGUUGACAAUGGUUGAAUUAAAGAAGGAAAUUCGAGAGCACAAUCAAACACAAGUAGAAAAAUGCACGAUUCCUGCAUGUGAGAACUUCCUUGGAAAGCCCGGAAGUAAAAUAUACGUGUUUUGUUUUUGAGUUUUAGGUUACAUUAGCAUCAUUUUCUUAGUUCAAAAACAAAAUCCAGAUGCCUCACCGAUCGUUUACGUUUUGCGUUAGAUCGCCAAUAAGCGGUCGGUUCAACGUUGGUUUAACAUAUAACCUAAACAUAUAUGUAAUUUUUGACGUAGGAUAAAGUCUUUCGGGAACAUAUUGGGGUACAAAUUGAAAAUCGAAAAUCGAGCACAUCGUAAAAAUUGUCCAAUUUCAAACACAUAUUGCUCAGUCAUUUCAUGAUGGAUUGAUAAAAUUUUUGCGUCAAUCGAUUUCUGCACUCCAUAAC